rnacentral:rRNA from 1 species
GACGAACGCUGGCGGCGUGCCUAAUACAUGCAAGUAGAACGCUGAAGAGAGGAGCUUGCUCUUCUUGGAUGAGUUGCGAACGGGUGAGUAACGCGUAGGUAACCUGCCUUGUAGCGGGGGAUAACUAUUGGAAACGAUAGCUAAUACCGCAUAACAAUGGAUGACUCAUGUCAUUUAUUUGAAAGGGGCAAAUGCUCCACUACAAGAUGGACCUGCGUUGUAUUAGCUAGUAGGUGAGGUAACGGCUCACCUAGGCGACGAUACAUAGCCGACCUGAGAGGGUGAUCGGCCACACUGGGACUGAGACACGGCCCAGACUCCUACGGGAGGCAGCAGUAGGGAAUCUUCGGCAAUGGGGGCAACCCUGACCGAGCAACGCCGCGUGAGUGAAGAGGGUUUUCGGAUCGUAAAGCUCUGUUGUAAGUCAAGAACGAGUGUGAGAGCGGAAAGUUCACACUGUGACGGUAGCUUACCAGAAAGGGACGGCUAACUACGUGCCAGCAGCCGCGGUAAUACGUAGGUCCCGAGCGUUGUCCGGAUUUAUUGGGCGUAAAGCGAGCGCAGGCGGUUUGAUAAGUCUGAAGUUAAAGGCUGUGGCUCAACCAUAGUUCGCUUUGGAAACUGUCAAACUUGAGUGCAGAAGGGGAGAGUGGAAUUCCAUGUGUAGCGGUGAAAUGCGUAGAUAUAUGGAGGAACACCGGUGGCGAAAGCGGCUCUCUGGUCUGUAACUGACGCUGAGGCUCGAAAGCGUGGGGAGCGAACAGG